UGGGGAAUAUUGCACAAUGGGCGCAAGCCUGAUGCAGCCAUGCCGCGUGUAUGAAGAAGGCCUUCGGGUUGUAAAGUACUUUCAGCGGGGAGGAAGGCGAUAAGGUUAAUAACCUUGUCGAUUGACGUUACCCGCAGAAGAAGCACCGGCUAACUCCGUGCCAGCAGCCGCGGUAAUACGGAGGGUGCAAGCGUUAAUCGGAAUUACUGGGCGUAAAGCGCACGCAGGCGGUCUGUCAAGUCGGAUGUGAAAUCCCCGGGCUCAACCUGGGAACUGCAUUCGAAACUGGCAGGCUAGAGUCUUGUAGAGGGGGGUAGAAUUCCAGGUGUAGCGGUGAAAUGCGUAGAGAUCUGGAGGAAUACCGGUGGCGAAGGCGGCCCCCUGGACAAAGACUGACGCUCAGGUGCGAGAGCGUGGGGAGCAAACA
rnacentral:rRNA from 1 species